GGUGAACGCUGGCGGCGUGCCUAAUACAUGCAAGUCGAGCGAACAGACGAGGAGCUUGCUCCUCUGACGUUAGCGGCGGACGGGUGAGUAACACGUGGAUAACCUACCUAUAAGACUGGGAUAACUUCGGGAAACCGGAGCUAAUACCGGAUAAUAUUUUGAACCGCAUGGUUCAAUAGUGAAAGACGGUUUUGCUGUCACUUAUAGAUGGAUCCGCGCCGCUUUAGCUAGUUGGUAAGGUAACGGCUUACCAAGGCAACGAUGCAUAGCCGACCUGAGAGGGUGAUCGGCCACACUGGAACUGAGACACGGUCCAGACUCCUACGGGAGGCAGCAGUAGGGAAUCUUCCGCAAUGGGCGAAAGCCUGACGGAGCAACGCCGCGUGAGUGAUGAAGGUCUUCGGAUCGUAAAACUCUGUUAUUAGGGAAGAACAAAUGUGUAAGUAACUAUGCACGUCUUGACGGUACCUAAUCAGAAAGCCACGGCCAACUACGUG
rnacentral:rRNA from 1 species